GAUGACCUGAGUGACAUGUCACUUCUGUGGGGAAGAGGAGCAUGACACGAACUUGACUUGGAUCCAGUGUGACAUUUGUUUGCAGUGGUUCCACCAUAAGUGCGUUAAAGGCCCACCAGCCGAGGAGGCCUUCAUGUGUACUCCUUCUGCUCCUGCAUAGUUACAGAAAAUGUUUUAUACAGCAAUAUGCUAUUGUACUGAAGGAAGUGAUUCAUUACAUUUUGUUGUGUGCCAUUACACCAUCCAUGUUUGUGUUGUCUUAUCUUAAAAAAUAUGGAUGUGUCCCUCCUCUUUUUUGUGGUUAAAAAAAAGUUUUACACAAUUUAAAAUUAUUAUUAUUGCAUGGAAAAUGACCUUAUGUAGCAAAAUAAUUGCAGAGUAUCUCUUUCUAUUGAUUGAUCAACCAAUACUUAGCAUGUGGUAUGAGCAUGUCAAAAACUGCUGACAAAGUUAUUGUCUCACUAUAUACAUUGUCAUACGGGCCAAACAUAGUUUGAGGUAGUUCAAGUAAUGAAGAAAUGUAUACAGUAUAUACUGUGUGUAUUAUACAUAAAAACUGAAAGUGUACUUGAGACUCACUCCAUGUUCAGGCCUAAGCUUUUAGAAUUCCUAAAUGCAAGGAAACCAGAAAGCAGUUUCAGAGUAAGCGGUCAAAAUAAAUGCCCUUUAAAGCUUCA